UUGUGGGUAAUUUCCUGUAUCCUGCUUCAUUUGGCUUUGUUAUAGUGCAUGCAUCCAUCAAUCCAUUAGCUAGACAUGCUCACACACUUGGAUUUGGAUGGUCUAUAAAUAGGAGCAGGGUACAUAGAGAUGGUCCGCACAAUCAAAUAGAAACCGAAAUCAUGAAGGCCAAUCUACUUAUAAUAAUCUGCCUUCUCUUGGCAUCCGCACUCUUCAUUCCUUCUCCAAUUUCAGCUAGACAAUUAGCUGAAAAACCUCCUGUGACUAUUGGAACCAAGAAUCCAGGCAAGCCAGCAGUGCCAUGUGGUCCUGGUGCACCAUAUAGGAGUUGUUACUCCCAAAAGUCGCCACCUAAAUCAUCAUGUAACCCGUACAAGCGUAAUUGCCCAUCUGCCUGAAGGCGUUUAUCAGAUAAGAAGCAUGUCCACUACUGCUUAAGAAGACUAUUAUAUAUACAUAUAUAUAUAUAUAUAUAUAUAUAUAUGGUUUUUGGGGCUUCAUUAUUAUGAUUGCUUUGAUCAUGUGCACUCAGAAUUAAACCUACUUUUCUUUUCUUUUUUUUCCUUGCAAUAAUUAAUGAACUCCAAGAACCUCUACAGUUUGAUGUAAUGUAUGCAAAAUAAAAGAGCUGACAGAGUCAGUUGGUAUAUAUAUUGAAAGGACUUUAUUACAAUUCUAUA